GCCUGGGUGGCUUAGUCAGUUGAGCAUCCGACUUCAGCUCAGGUCAUGAUCUUGCAGUUGGUGAGUUUGAGUCCCACCUGAGGCU
rfam:Felis catus isolate Cinnamon breed Abyssinian chromosome F2, whole genome shotgun sequence.